AUUGAACGCUGGCGGCAGGCCUAACACAUGCAAGUCGAGCGGUAACAGGUCUUCGGAUGCUGACGAGUGGCGAACGGGUGAGUAAUACAUCGGAACGUGCCCGAUCGUGGGGGAUAACGGAGCGAAAGCUUUGCUAAUACCGCAUACGAUCUACGGAUGAAAGCAGGGGACCGCAAGGCCUUGCGCGGACGGAGCGGCCGAUGGCAGAUUAGGGAGUUGGUGGGAUAAAAGCUUACCAAGCCGACGAUCUGUAGCUGGUCUGAGAGGACGACCAGCCACACUGGGACUGAGACACGGCCCAGACUCCUACGGGAGGCAGCAGUGGGGAAUUUUGGACAAUGGGCGCAAGCCUGAUCCAGCCAUGCCGCGUGCAGGAUGAAGGCCUUCGGGUUGUAAACUGCUUUUGUACGGAACGAAACGGCUCUUUCUAAUAAAGAGGGCUAAUGACGGUACCGUAAGAAUAAGCACCGGCUAACUACGUGCCAGCAGCCGCAGUAAUAC
rnacentral:rRNA from 1 species